UAAAUAGGAAAGGUCUCUUUUGUUAAUUUAGGUUUAGCCUAAAGCUGCCUCCUUACAUAUUUUAACUUUGGCCUAAAGGUUUUUCUGAACAUG